UUUUUUUUUUUUUAAAAAAAGGAACUCUAGGAGUUCCUGUCGGGGUGCAGUGGUUAACGAAUCCGACUAGGAACCAUGAGGUUGUGGGUUCAAUCCCUGGCCUUGCUCAUUGGGUUCAUUAACCACUGAGCCACAAAGGGAACUCCCAAUGUCCUAUUUAUGGGUUCCAGAAGAGGCCCCUGAACUUGAAGGAGACAGGCAGGGGCGGAGCAGAGUACAAUCCGUGCAUUUGUGCUCACGGCUCUGAUGUGGACAGCACUGACCUGAAAUUCACUUUGCCGCACCACAGAAACUCAGGCGAGGUUGUAAGUCCCCUCUACGACAAUAAAAUUUCUUUCCAAAAAAGAAAGAAACUGUACUUCCAGGAUGUAAAUUCCUCCUGGGAGCCCCCCUACCUGUCACAUUGGACGCCUUCUAGGAAGGUUUAUUGAAGAUGCAGAUACAUGAAUGAAUUAAACCGGCACUUCAACAAUCCAACGACAAAUUCCAAAAUGCCUCUCAGUCCAUGAAAACAUCUGGGUGAAACCAUACACCUUGGUUUGUAGGUUGGAAGGCUCAGCAAGAGACCGUCGGGAUGGUUUGUGGGGAGAGCUGAUGACAAGUCAAGAAUCAUUGAGGAGCUCUUCUCCCACCCCCCCCAAACAAGGACAACAAUAGGAGACACGUGUCCUGCUCCGGGCUCCUGCCAACCUAUUGAGACCCUUGGCACAGGGUCGAUUCACAUCUCCAGGCUUCUGUUGGCCUUUCUGGGGCCCAAAGGGGAAAUGAAGGCCCAGGGUAUCCUCUCUAAAGGGAUGGUUGCUAAAUAACCCCAGGAAGUGGAAGAAGACGCUUUUGUCAACGUGAAAAUCUACAUGGGCUGCAACUUUUUCACUUCUGCCUCUCUCGCUCUCAUUCUGCUCCUUCUCUCUUUGUUGAGCCAGGAUUCAUAAGCUGUGUGUGUGCCAGACUUAGGUUCUGGGUUUCCUGUGGCAUCCUGGCAACAAGCUUGGGUGGGAGGAAGGCAAUGCGAUGACCUGCAUUUUGGAGACGGAGAAACUGAGGCUCCGCACGGUAGGUCAUCCAUUCAAGGUCACUGAGCUCACACGGGAUGGAGGAGAAUUAGAAAUGGCCAUGGCUUUACUCCACGGCUGGGCUCUUAAAUUCUAUGCCACGGUUCUACCACAUACACUGGUCUCCUCUCUUCCGUGUCCUGGAAGUGAGUCCAGAAUAUUACCUCUCUCUAUAGUUCUGAAAAUCUAUUCGAUGAGGUCUGUGUUAAAUAAAACGCAGACUUUUGGGGGGGAGAGGUGGUCCCCUUUAUCUGUGUUGACACAACCAGAGGAAUAAGGAGGAGUAACAGCAACAACACUAAGAGCUGACACUUUUGCUGAGCGGGAUCAGGUGGCAGGCUGUAAAUAUGUGUGUAUCAUAUGUAUUUCAUUAUGUUUACAUAUGUAUGUCCACACACAAACAUCUACCCACACACACACACUUUCUUUUUUUCUCUAAUCUGUACUGCUGUUAAUAUUCUGAUCUCAUUACUAAGGAAACCAAGGCACAGAGACGCUAAAUAUCUCACUCGGGAUCCUAAGUGAUGAGCCAAGUUUCAGAUAUUGAGCUACUUGACCCAAACCCAUGGUGCUCCAAAGGAAAAAAAAAAAAAAUUAAAACAAAAUAAAAUACUUCCACAAUGUACACCAUUUCAGAACGCAGAUAACUGAUUCAAGCGCCUGGUUUUACUGAACCCGUAUGACAAUCCUGAGUAGCUAUUACUGAUAUCACGGUUGAGUGUUCGUACGACCCCUAUUUUAUGGAUGGUGGCAUCAGGGAGACUGGUCCGGGUGACUACAGCCAAGGGCAGGUGGAACUGGGACAAAAAACAGCCCUCAGACCUGGACCCACGGCAUCCCAUUGCCUCCACCCUCCUUGAUGCAGGAAAGAUUGUGCCUGCACGGUGGAUCUGUGAACUAGAGACAUUCAUAUGACACAGGGCUGCUCCUACUGAGGUUCUCAGAACCGACAGCGUCCACCCUGAACAGACAGACGGGAGCUCAUUUGGAUGUUUUCAGCCUCACGUGUUUACAGUGCCCACCCUUGCCCCCCAACAGCUCCUUUGCCAAGUGAAUUCAGACAAUGUUCUACAUGCCAGUUUUCUCACCACAAACGGGAAGAGAUUUACAAGGCACCUGCAGCAGCCACCGGUCACGGGGUUUUGCAGUCAGAAAUAAUUAGGCGUCAAAGCCAGCCCCAAAUCCCCAAGCUCCCCAGGAACACCUCCCAGUGCUAGGAAUAGAACGCCCCUCCUGAGCGGACCC
rnacentral:lncRNA from 1 species